ACAAAACUAGACACUACAG
rnacentral:misc_RNA from 1 species